UAAUCGUCGUAUUGACUGCAUCGCGUGUCGCCCUUUUCCGGUUGAUCCUGCCGGACCCCACUGCUAUCGGGAUAGGACUAAGACAUGCUAGUUGAGCGCUUCCAGCCAACACGGGAGCGCAGCGCACAGCUCAGUAACACGUGGCUAAUCUGCCCUUGGGACCGGAACACCCCCGGGAAACUGGGGCUAAUUCUCGAUAGGUGAAGAACUCUGGAAUGAGUCUUCGCCAAAAAGACGUUUACGUUAUGCUCGUAGGCGUCGCCCAAGGAUGAGGCCGCGACCGAUCAGGUUGUUGGUGAGAUAAUGGCUCACCAAGCCUUUUACCGGUGCGGGCCGUGAGAGCGGGAGCCCGGAGAUGGGCACUGAGACAAGGGCCCAGGCACUACGGGGCGCAGCAGUCGCGAAAACUUUGCAAUACACGAAAGUGUGACAGGGCUAUCCCGAGUGCCAUCCGCUGAGGAAGGCUUUUACCCAGUCUAGAACGCUGGGGGAAUAAGGAGAGGGCAAGUCUGGUGUCAGCCGCCGCGGUAAUACCAGCUCUCCGAGUGGUGUGGAUGUUUAUUGGGCCUAAAGCAUCCGUAGCUGGCUAAGUUAGUCCCUUGUUAAAUCCACCGAAUUAAUCGUUGGAUUGCGGGGGAUACUGCUUGGCUAGGGGACGAGAGAGGCAGACGGUAUUUCCGGGGUAGGGGUGAAAUCCUAUAAUCCCGGGAAGGCCACCAGUGGCGAAGGCUGUCUGCUAGAACGCGCCCGACGGUGAGGGAUGAAAGCUGGGGGAGCGAACCGGAUUAGAUACCCGGGUAGUCCCAGCUGUAAACGAUGCAGGCUAGGUGUUUGGACGGCCACGUGCCGUUCUAGUGCCGCAGGGAAGCUGUUAAGCCCGCCGCCUGGGGAGUACGAUCGCAAGAUUGAAACUUAAAGGAAUUGGCGGGGGAGCACCACAAGGGGUGAAGCUUGCGGUUUAAUUGGAGUCAACGCCGGAAAUCUCACCGGGAGCGACAGCAGAAUGAAGGCCAGAUUAAAGGUCUUGCCAGACGAGCUGAGAGGAGGUGCAUGGCCGUCGCCAGUUCGUGCCGUGAGGUGUCCUGUUAAGUCAGGCAACGAUCGAGACCCGCGUCCUCUGUUGCAACUAGCUUUGAGCUGGGCACACUGAGGAGACCGCCACUGAUAAAGUGGAGGAAGGAGCGGGCCACGGCAGGUCAGUAUGCCCCGAAUCUCCCGGGCCACACGCGAGCUGCAAUGGCAGGUACAAUGGGUUCCGACCUCGAAAGGGGAAGGCAAUCUCGAAAGCCUGCCGUAGUUGGGAUCGAGGGCUGCAACCCGCCCUCGUGAACAUGGAAUCCCUAGUAAUCGCGUGUCAUUAGCGCGCGGUGAAUACGUCCCUGCUCCUUGCACACACCGCCCGUCGUUCCAUCCGAGCGACUCUUGGGUGAGGCGCCGUCUUUCGUGGCGGCAUCGAAUCUAAGUUUCGUAAGGAGGGAAAAGUCGUAACAAGGUAACCAAGGGCGACACGCGAUUGCAGCGAGCCUCAGACACUGGCCGUG
rnacentral:rRNA from 1 species